GACGUAGGGGGCGAGCGUUGUCCGGAUUUAUUGGGCGUAAAGAGCUCGUAGGCGGCUCAGAAAGUCGGGUGUGAAACCUCCAGGCUCAACCUGGAGACGCCACCUGAUACUGCUGUGGCUAGAGUCCGGUAGGGGAACACGGAAUACCCGGUGUAGCGGUGAAAUGCGUAAAUAUCUGGAGGAACACCGGUGGCGAAGGCGGCAAUCCUGGACCAAUACUGACGCUGAGGAGCGAAAGCCAGGGGAGCAAACGGGG
rnacentral:rRNA from 1 species